UUACCCCGCUGGAAAUUAAGCAUAUCAAUAAGCGGAGGAAAAGAAACCAACAGGGAUUGCCCCCAGUAACGGCGAGUGAAGCGGCAACAGCUCAAAUUUGAAAUCUGGCUCUCGGGCCCGAGUUGUAAUUUGUAGAGGAUGCUUUUGGUGAGGUGCCUUCCGAGUUCCCUGGAACGGGACGCCAUAGAGGGUGAGAGCCCCGUCUGGUUGGACGCCGAACCUCUGUAAAGCUCCUUCGACGAGUCGAGUAGUUUGGGAAUGCUGCUCUAAAUGGGAGGUAUAUGUCUUCUAAAGCUAAAUACCGGCCAGAGACCGAUAGCGCACAAGUAGAGUGAUCGAAAGAUGAAAAGAACUUUGAAAAGAGAGUUAAACAGUACGUGAAAUUGUUGAAAGGGAAGCGCUUGUGACCAGACUUGGGCUUGGUUGAUCAUCCGGGGUUCUCCCCGGUGCACUCUUCCGGCUCAGGCCAGCAUCAGUUCGCCCUGGGGGAUAAAGGCAUCGGGAACGUGGCUCUCUCCGGGGAGUGUUAUAGCCCGUUGCGUAAUACCCUGUGGCGGACUGAGGUUCGCGCAUUCGCAAGGAUGCUGGCGUAAUGGUCAUCAGUGACCCGUCUUGAAACACGGACCAAGGAGUCGUCUUCGUAUGCGAGUGUUCGGGUGUCAAACCCCUACGCGAAAUGAAAGUGAACGCAGGUGAGAGCUUCGGCGCAUCAUCGACCGAUCCUGAUGUUAUCGGAUGGAUUUGAGUAAGAGCAUACGGGGCCGGACCCGAAAGAAGGUGAACUAUGCCUGUGUAGGGUGAAGCCAGAGGAAACUCUGGUGGAGGCUCGCAGCGGUUCUGACGUGCAAAUCGAUCGUCAAACAUGGGCAUGGGGGCGAAAGACUAAUCGACCUGCAAGGUG
rnacentral:rRNA from 1 species